CGCACGUAUCCGGGCCCCGCCCCCUGGCCGGCCUACUUACAGCAUUGGCCGGCCCGCUUGUCAUUCCCACCGUGGCUACCAUUCAUGCAGUUUGGUUGCGUCUUGGUGUAUUUGAGUGUUUGCAAUAAAAAGGGCUUUUAAUUUUUGGAGGUGCAGGUCCAGCUGCAAUUAGUUCACUGAAAAGUCUACCGCCUUGCAAGCAGCCAACCGCGGCUAGCUUUAGCUCUUUAUUUCUCCCUUGCAAUUGCAAGCCACUAAUUCAGAGGUGCAACUAUGCCCAAAAGAAAGCCCCAGCCACCUAUUGCAGAUUCCUCUGGGGUUCACUUGAUGGGAGCCAUCCUUGAGCCGACGCUGACAACAACCUGGUUGUUGCAGGCAGCCGUUGAAGGGCAGGUAAAGGAGGAGCCAAAGAGGCGGUCACCUCGAUUAUCUGCUAAGCCUGUUCCUCCUAAAUCUGAGCCCAAAACCAAAAAGGCAGCAGCCCCAAAGAAAGUGAACGUAGCAAAUGAUAAAAAGGAAAUGAAAGGCAAGAAGGGGGCCGCCAAAGUCAAAGUGGAAACCAAGCAGGAAGAAGUGAAAGAAGAAAACCACUCUGAAAAUGGAGAGACCCAAACUAACGAGGUGCCGGCUGUGGAAGAACCUGAGGAGAAGCCUGAGUAAUAUGUAACACUGCCCUAUAUCUCCAUCAGUUUGCAUGAAGUUAAUUUUGGAACGUCUCCAUCCUGGUCGCUUGGGUAUGAUGUCACCAACAAGAUAUCACUGUCUCUGCAUUUUGUGAUUAUAAUAGUGUGAUCUAUGGCAAGAAUAAGUGGUGGUAGCUUCUGACUUUUGUCACUGUGUACCCUUUCUUGUGUAAGCUAUCCUUUCCGUCCUUUGGCUUUUUCUUUGGCCCUGGUACGUGUUUAAUUCAGUGAAGUGGGGAGGCCCCAAAUAGAAAGUUCUCAAAUCGGCUAGUCCGGGGUGUCUGUGGGUUGAUUUUAUAAAGAAGGUGAGCUAUUUUCAUGAAAUUCUAAGAGUUGGAAAUAUCUUUCCCAAAUAUAACUUUAAUAUUAGUUUUUGAAAGAAAGUAAAAUGUAAUCAUGUUUUUAAACAAAAUACAAAUGUUUAUUUCAGAAGGGCAGAUUGAUUGUAUGUGUAGCCACUAUUAGAAAUUUUGCUGGAUUUAUCUUAAUAAAAUAAAAAGACUCCUC
rnacentral:lncRNA from 1 species